GUGUAUUAAAAGUAGCACGUCUACUAAAAUUAGAACGAUAGAACGAUAUGGAGAUUAGCAUGGCCCCUGCGAAAGGAUGACACAAAUCAUGAAGCCGUCCAUAUUUUU
ensembl:snRNA U6 U6 spliceosomal RNA